rnacentral:rRNA from 1 species
CUGGCGGCGUGCCUAAUACAUGCAAGUCGAACGGUCUUUCUAUGGAAGCUUGCCUCCACUGAGAAGAUAGUGGCGAACGGGUGAGUAACACGUGGGUAACCUGCCCAUAAGAGGGGGAUAACAUCCGGAAACGGGUGCUAAUACCGCAUAGUUUUCUUGAUCGCAUGAUCGGGAAAGGAAAGACGGCCUUUGUGCUGUCGCUUAUGGAUGGACCCGCGGCGUAUUAGUUAGUUGGUGAGGUAACGGCUCACCAAGACGAUGAUACGUAGCCGACCUGAGAGGGUGAUCGGCCACAUUGGGACUGAGACACGGCCCAAACUCCUACGGGAGGCAGCAGUAGGGAAUCUUCCGCAAUGGACGAAAGUCUGACGGAGCAACGCCGCGUGAGUGAAAGAAGGUUUUCGGAUCGUAAAACUCUGUUGUCAGAGAAGAACAAGUUGGAGAGUAACUGCUCCAGCCUUGACGGUAUCUGACCAGAAAGCCACGGCUAACUACGUGCCAGCCGCCGC